rnacentral:pre_miRNA from 1 species
AGGAGGAACAACCACAGUGGCGGCGGACAGCUCUGGAGCCUUGGAUUCAUCUCCUGCAGUAACUAAGGAGCUCUCAGUCUGCAGGGGCCUGGAGGCUCCAGGGGCGG